rnacentral:rRNA from 1 species
UACGUAGGCGGAAGAUUAAGUCAGUGGUGAAAUCCUGCAGCUUAACUGUAGAACUGUCAUUGAUACUGGUUUUCUUGAAUAUAGUUGAGGUAGGCGGAAUGUGUAAUGUAGCGGUGAAAUGCUUAGAUAUUACACAGAACACCGAUUGCGAAGGCAGCUUACUAAGCUAUGAUUGACGCUGAGGUAUGAAAGCGUGGGGAGCGAACAGGAUUAGAUACCCUGGUAGUCC